AGCUCCAGUAGCGUAUAUUAAAGUUGUUGCAGUUAAAAAGCUCGUAGUUGGAUUUCUGGUACGCUGCGCCUGGCCGGCCCGCGUUAGCGGUGUGAGUGUCGGUGCGCGGUUGCCAUCCUUCUAGAGAACGUGUCUGCCUUUAAUUAGGUCGGACACGGGAUCUAGAUCUUUUACUUUGAAAAAAUUAGAGUGUUUAAAGCAGGCUUUUGCUAUGAAUACAUUAGCAUGGAAUAAUAAUAUAGGACUUUGGUUCUAUUUUGUUGGUUUCUAGGACUAAAGUAAUGAUUGAUAGGGAUAGUUGGGGGUGCUAGUAUUCAGCGGCCAGAGGUGAAAUUCUUGGAUUCGCUGAAGACUAACUUAUGCGAAAGCAUUCACCAAGGAUGUCUUCUUUAAUCAAGAA
rnacentral:rRNA from 1 species